UCGACGAAUACUUAGUCAAGAUCAUUGCUAUAGUAUUUGUGAUGUUUUAUUGUUAUAAAUAAACAGAUUAUCAAAAGUGAUGAUGAAAAGGCGCGGCUCUAUAAAUGAAAAUAUUUCGAUUUCCUUCAAGUUCUUUAGAAAUUGUUGGGAAUCCGAAACAUAGAUGAUCAAUUUUGGCCUCCAGGGAUUCUUCCCUCGUUGGCCGAAAAAUCAGGAGUUUGUCGCCAGCUGAACUUUA
rfam:Plasmodium coatneyi strain Hackeri chromosome 14, complete sequence.